rnacentral:rRNA from 1 species
UAAGGAAUAUUGGACAAUGGAGGCAACUCUGAUCCAGCCAUGCCGCGUGAAGGAAUAAGGCCCUAUGGGUUGUAAACUUCUUUUAGACGGGACAAAACCCCUUUACGUGUAAAGGGUUGAUGGUACUGUCAGAAUAAGCAUCGGCUAACUUCGUGCCAGCAGCCGCGGUAAUACGAAGGAUGCAAGCGUUAUCCGGAAUUAUUGCGUUUAAAGGGUGCGUAGGCGGACUAAUAAGUCAGUGGUGAAAGCCUGCAGCUUAACUGCAGAAUUGCCAUUGAUACUGUUAGUCUUGAGUACAGUUGAGGUAGGCGGAAUGUGUCAUGUAGCGGUGAAAUGCUUAGAUAUGACACAGAACACCGAUUGCGAAGGCAGCUUGCUAGGCUGUAACUGACGCUGAGGCACGA